UACGUAGGGGGCAAGCGUUGUCCGGAUUUAUUGGGCGUAAAGAGCGUGUAGGCGGCCAGGUAGGUCGGUUGUGAAAACUGGAGGCUUAACCUCCAGACGUCGACCGAAACCCCCCGGCUAGAGUCCGGAAGAGGAGAGUGGAAUUCCUGGUGUAGCGGUGAAAUGCGCAGAUAUCAGGAAGAACACCCGUGGCGAAAGCGGCUCUCUGGGACGGUACUGACGCUGAGACGCGAAAGCGUGGGGAGCGAACAGG
rnacentral:rRNA from 1 species